rnacentral:rRNA from 1 species
GGGCCUGCACAAGCGGUGGAGCAUGUGGUUUAAUUCGAUGAUACGCGAGGAACCUUACCAGGGCUUAAAUGUAGUGGGACAGGUCUAGAGAUAGACCCUUCUUCGGACUCAUUACAAGGUGCUGCAUGGUUGUCGUCAGCUCGUGCCGUGAGGUGUCAGGUUAAGUCCUAUAACGAGCGCAACCCCUAUCGUUAGUUGCCAGCGAGUAAUGUCGGGAACUCUAACGAAACUGCCAGUGCAAACUGUGAGGAAGGUGGGGAUGACGUCAAAUCAUCACGGCCCUUACGUCCUGGGCUACACACGUGCUACAAUGGCCGGUACAGAGAGCAGCCACUUCGCAAGAAGGAGCGAAUCCUUAAAACCGGUCUCAGUUCGGAUCGGGGUCUGCAACUCGGCCCCGUG